GUGCUUGCUUCAGCAGCACAUAUACUAAAAUUGGAACAAUACAGAGAUGAUUAGCAUGGCCCCUGUGCAAGGAUGACAUGCAAAUUUGGGAAGCGCUCCAUAUUUUU
rnacentral:snRNA from 1 species